AAGCAAACACGUUAAACUCUGUGUCCUUAUCCAUUCCUACACUCCACGACCCUUAGCUACAAAGAGUCAAAGCUGGAAAACGAGGAAAGGAGCAUGUAGGAUAGAGACAGUGACAUAACUCAAAACUACAAUUCAAACCUGCUGGUUUACGAUUCCAAGGACUUGAAAAGAUCUUCUUUUGCCUCCAUCUGUCAAUCAAACCAACCAGUUCUUGCAGAUUUCAAGAGCCAUGCAGGGACUCUGAAGAUUUCUUUUUGGAUAAUGCACUUUCUGGGGUGUAAUUAUUAUGGGCAGUACUCAAAACCCAUUGGUGGCUUUUGGCUAUAUUUGGUCCAAGACUGUUUAAAAACCAAGUGAAUUGUGUGGUUUUUGUUUCUCUGGGAGAAAUGGGUGUGUUGAGUGAGGGUCUUACACAGGUUUUGAUAGUUGUAGCUUCCCUGGUUGGUAUUGGGUUUGCUUUGCUUCAAUGGUUUUUGGUGUCAAAAGUGAGGGUCUCUGUUGAGUCUGGUAAUGGUUAUAGUGAUAGAUUGAUUGGAGAGGAAGAAGAAGGUGUCGAUAAUCUUGAUGUUUCUCUCAAAUGUGCUGAAAUUCAGAAUGCUAUUUCUGUUGGGGCAACCUCAUUCCUGUAUACUGAGUACAGGUAUCUCUGUAUCUUCAUGGGUGUUUUUGGUGCCAUCAUCUUUCUCUUUCUUGGUUCAGUUCAGGGCUUCAGCACCAAAAGUGAACCUUGCACAUACAGCAAGGGGAAUCUUUGUAAACCAGCUCUGGCCAAUGCCAUCUUUAGCACAAUUGCUUUCUUGCUUGGUGCUCUCACUUCUGUCCUCUCAGGUUUUCUGGGCAUGAAGAUUGCAACCUAUGCAAAUGCUAGGACAACUCUACAAGCGAGGAAGGGUGUCGGAAAAGCCUUCAUCACAGCUUUUCGGUCUGGGGCGGUGAUGGGUUUCCUUCUUUCUGCCAAUGGGCUUUUGGUGCUCUAUGUAUCCAUCAAUUUGUUCAAGCUCUACUAUGGAGAUGACUGGGAGGGACUUUAUGAGUCCAUUACUGGUUAUGGUCUUGGAGGCUCCUCAAUGGCACUCUUUGGAAGAGUUGGAGGGGGAAUAUACACAAAAGCAGCUGAUGUUGGGGCUGACCUUGUUGGAAAAGUAGAACAGGGAAUCCCUGAAGAUGAUCCUAGAAAUCCUGCAGUAAUUGCAGAUUUGGUUGGAGACAAUGUGGGUGAUUGUGCUGCUCGAGGCGCUGAUCUUUUUGAAAGUAUUGCUGCCGAAAUAAUAAGCGCAAUGAUACUUGGAGGAACAAUGGCUCAACGUUGCAAAAUUGAGGAUCCUUCUGGCUUCAUCUUGUUUCCUCUUGUUAUUCAUUCUUUUGACCUGGUUAUUUCUUCAAUCGGAAUACUUUCAAUAAGGGGUACACGUGAUUCUAGUGUAAAGUCUCCUAUAGAGGAUCCAAUGGCAAUCCUUCAGAAAGGAUACUCUGUUACAUUAGUUUUGGCAGUUCUCACAUUUGGUGCGUCUACCCGUUGGAUGCUUUAUACUGAACAAGCACCUUCAGCAUGGUUUAACUUUGCCUUGUGUGGAUUGGUUGGUAUCAUCACGGCAUAUAUUUUUGUCUGGAUCACCAAAUACUAUACUGACUACAAGCAUGAACCUGUACGCACAUUAGCUCUUGCUAGCUCCACGGGUCAUGGGACUAACAUAAUUGCUGGAGUUAGUUUGGGUCUGGAAUCAACAGCUCUUCCUGUUCUUGUCAUUAGUAUAGCUAUUGUCUCAGCUUUUUGGUUGGGUCACACCUCUGGUCUGGUGGAUGAAGCUGGAAAGCCAACUGGUGGCUUGUUUGGUACUGCUGUAGCAACAAUGGGAAUGCUCAGUACUGCUGCCUACGUUCUUACGAUGGAUAUGUUUGGUCCCAUAGCUGACAAUGCUGGUGGAAUUGUAGAGAUGAGUCGGCAGCCAGAAAGUGUUCGGGAGAUUACUGAUCUUCUUGAUGCGGUUGGAAACACAACGAAAGCUACAACCAAAGGUUUUGCCAUUGGAUCUGCCGCACUUGCAUCUUUCCUUCUAUUUAGUGCUUAUAUGGAUGAGGUUGCUGCAUUUUCCCACGAACCUUUCAACCAGGUUGAUAUUGCCAUUCCUGAAGUUUUUAUUGGUGGAUUGUUGGGCUCUAUGCUUAUUUUCUUGUUCAGUGGAUGGGCCUGCUCAGCUGUUGGCCGAACUGCUCAGGAGGUUGUUAAUGAAGUAAGGAGGCAGUUUAUUGAGAGGCCAGGUAUUAUGGUGAGUGUCUUCCAAUAGGAAUUAUUCAUUGCAUCUAAUCAGCUUGAAAAUAGUACACCUUCUCUCAAUCAUAUUGGAUCCACACUCCACAGACUAAUUUUAUUAGUGGAUCCCACAUGAUUGUGAGGCGAGGUGCACUAUCCUCUUGGACAGCUAGUGCGUUAUAGAAUUUCCCCAUUCCUGUGCUUUUUCCUUCUGCUGUUAGGCUCUGGAUUCCAAAUAAUGCACUUUUUUAACAUUUUCAUGUCAGGACUACAAGGAGAAACCAGACUAUGGUCGCUGUGUCGCAAUUGUGGCAUCUGCUUCUUUGAGGGAGAUGAUUAAGCCUGGUGCUUUGGCUAUUAUAUCACCUAUUGUAGUUGGUUUUCUGUUCCGGAUUUUAGGGUACUAUACGGGGCAUCCUCUACUUGGGGCUAAAGUUGUGGCUUCCAUGCUGAUGUUUGGAACUGUUUCUGGCAUUCUUAUGGCUCUUUUCCUAAAUACAGCUGGUGGUGCAUGGGAUAAUGCAAAGAAGUAUAUUGAGACAGGGGCUCUUGGAGGCAAGGGGAGUAACUGUCAUAAAGCAGCAGUUACUGGAGAUACUGUAGGAGACCCGUUCAAAGACACAGCUGGGCCUUCACUUCAUGUGCUUAUAAAAAUGUUAGCAACAAUCACGCUAGUCAUGGCGCCUGUCUUUCUGUGAAGAGUAGUUGAUAUCUACCGCAGUUCAAAGAGUAUAAAGCACCCUUAAUCGUUGGAAUUUUUAGGGUUUUUUUUUUUUU
rnacentral:misc_RNA from 1 species